AACGAACGCUGGCGGCAGGCCUAACACAUGCAAGUCGAACGCUCCGCAAGGGGGAGUGGCGCGCGGGUGAGUAACACGUGGGAACCUACCUUCUGGUACGGAACAACCAAGGGAAACUUUGGCUAAGACCGUAUACGACCUCCGGGUGAAAGAUUGAUCGCCGGAAGAGGGGCCCGCGUCCGAUUAGGUAGUUGGUGAGGUAACGGCUCACCAAGCCUUCGAUCGGUAGCUGGUCUGAGAGGAUGACCAGCCACACUGGGACUGAGACACGGCCCAGACUCCUACGGGAGGCAGCAGUGGGGAAUAUUGGACAAUGGGCGCAAGCCUGAUCCAGCCAUGCCGCGUGAGUGAUGAA
rnacentral:rRNA from 1 species